GGCACGGUAGUUCAAUGGAUAGAAUAGAAGUUUCCUAAACUUUUGAUCCGGGUUCGAUUCCCGGCCGGGCCU
rnacentral:tRNA from 1 species